UUUGAUUGUGAGGGAGUCGAUCUUUGUCGUCAUGGAACUCUAUGUCUAAUGCAGCUCGCAUUUCCAGAUGCUGUAUACUUGGUUGAUGUAAUCCAAGGUGGAGUUGUGCUCAUGGAAGCCUGUAAACCUGCACUUGAGUCUAGUUACAUAACAAAAGUGAUUCAUGACUGCAAACGGGACAGUGAGGCUUUGUAUUUCCAGUUUGGUGUCAAAUUACACAAUGCUAUCGAUACCCAGAUUGCAUAUUCUCUGAUAGAGGAGCAACGAGGAUUGAAACGAGCACCUGAUGACUACAUAUCCUUUGUUGGCCUUCUUGCUGAUCCUCGCUAUUGUGGUACAUCAUACAUUGAAAAGGAAGAAGUGCGUGUACUUUUACGAAAGGAUCCAAACUUUUGGAAAUAUAGACCUAUGUCCGAAAUGAUGAUUCGA
rnacentral:misc_RNA from 1 species